GACGAACGCUGGCGGCGUGCUUAACACAUGCAAGUCGAGCGGAGCGGCGAACGGGUGAGUAUCGCGUGAGUAACUGCCCCCCCCUCUGGGCUAACAGUUGGAAACGGCUGCUAAUACCGGAUAAUGGGGGAUGACUCGCGCCCUAUCAGCUUGUUGGUGGGGUAGUGGUCUACCAAGGCGACGACGGGUAGUCGGCCUGAGAGGGCGCCCGGCCACAUUGGGCUGAGAUACGGCCCAAACUCCGACGGGAGGCAGCAGGGGGGAAUAGUGCACAAUGGAGGAAACCCUGAUGCAGCAACGCCGCGUGCGAGAUGACGGCCUUCGGGUUGUAAACCGCUUUCAGCCAUGACGCGGUAGUGGCAGAAGAAGCACCGGCUAACUACGUGCCAGCAGCCGCGGUAAUAC
rnacentral:rRNA from 1 species